rnacentral:rRNA from 1 species
UACGUAGGUGGCAAGCGUUGUCCGGAUUUACUGGGCGUAAAGAGCGCGCAGGCGGUCGUUCAAGUCGCGUGUGAAAGCCCCCGGCUCAACUGGGGAGGGUCACGCGAUACUGAUCGACUCGAAGGCAGGAGAGGGAAGUGGAAUUCCCGGUGUAGUGGUGGAAUGCGUAGAUAUCGGGAGGAACACCAGUGGCGAAGGCGGUUGCCUGGGGCUUUGCUGACGCUGAUGCGCGAAAGCGUGGGGAGCGAUCCGG